GUGGGGAAUCUUGCGCAAUGGGCGAAAGCCUGACGCAGCCAUGCCGCGUGAAUGAUGAAGGUCUUAGGAUUGUAAAAUUCUUUCACCGGGGACGAUAAUGACGGUACCCGGAGAAGAAGCCCCGGCUAACUUCGUGCCAGCAGCCGCGGUAAUACGAAGGGGGCUAGCGUUGCUCGGAAUUACUGGGCGUAAAGGGCGCGUAGGCGGACAGUUUAGUCAGAGGUGAAAGCCCAGGGCUCAACCUUGGAAUUGCCUUUGAUACUGGCUGUCUUGAGUACGGGAGAGGUGAGUGGAACUCCGAGUGUAGAGGUGAAAUUCGUAGAUAUUCGGAAGAACACCAGUGGCGAAGGCGACUCACUGGCCCGUCACUGACGCUGAGGCGCGAAAGCGUGGGGAGCAAACAGGAUUAGAAACCCGGGUAGUCC
rnacentral:rRNA from 1 species